UUCAGUAGAACGCAGUGAAUGUUCGGAACGCCAAAUCUACCGAAUUGCGGCCACGGCAGCUAAUCUCAACGGAGAUCAGCCAAGAACGCAGGAGAAAUUAUAGUCAAUAUUAGAUAAUUAGCCCACAGGAUGCAGCAUCAUUGAAUAUCAGGCGUCUAUUCUAGGCGCAAGAUGUCGACCGAUAUAGAUAUUACUCGAAUAUUGCGGAAAGGAUGAUGUUCUAUUGCCCACGACAUGGAUCCAGAAGUGCAUUGUGUGAUAAAAUUCACUUCAAUCGAACAAAGUGGGUAACGAAAUACGGAACCUAUUUCUCAAAACUUCGAUAUUGAUAGUACAAGUUAAAUACUUAGCAGCUCAUGAUAUAAUUGGAGAUGAGGCUUCUAUAAUAAUUAUAAUUAAAAAUACCCAUUUGUGUAAAAAAAUGACCUAUUUCGGUUAAUUUAAUGCUACUUAACUAGAUCUAAAUCUUUCGUGUACGAUAUAAUUUUAAUUAUGACUACCGCUUUGUCUGUUUCAACUGACACGUACCGAGGAUUGUCGAGUUCUAUUUUGAAAACAGUAGCCUCUGUAAAUAUUCUACAUAUAGUGAUGUUCCGUUUAUGAUACAACUGUAAAUGUGGGAAAUUAUAUAAUAAUAUCAGUCCUCUGUUAUAUACUGUCUCACUUCUGCCCACGGGCCUCCUCUAAUACUGAGAAGGUCUCUAGGUCAUUAUGAGCCCUAACAUUUAAAAUCUUAUGGUGACAAGUACUUUUCAAGAUAUUAAUACUGUUUAUAGUCGACUUUGGAGUUAUCAUUAAGCCAGCAAGUUUCAUGUUUAAUAUUUACUACAAAUACUAAAUACUUUCACGCUCGACAUAUUGUCUACUAAUUAAUAAUUGCACCCGUCGAUUUUGCGUAUAAAAUACAUUGACACGGCACUAUGGCGCUUGCAGAUAAAAUAUAUACCCUCUGACCAAUAUUUGUUGGAAUUUUAUUACUGGGAAUAUUUUGUUGCAUUUUUGUUUUUAGAGCAUUCUUG